rnacentral:lncRNA from 1 species
AUUAGCAACUCCAGUCUUAAAUUAAAGUUUCUUGUUAUGAUUGCAGAGACCCCAGAGGGACCAAUAUUUAUAUUCAAGUAAUAUUUCUGGUUUCCCAUUAUUUCACAGUGAAUUCUUGUGAGUAGGCCUUAGCAUAAUAAUCCAAGUACAACAUGGCUAGUAUGCUGUCAUCAAUGUUUUUAUGUAGAUUUCCCCCCAUGAACAUAACAUAAAUAAAUCUGUUUCCUGAAUUGACCAUGGUUGCAUUUAAAGCUCUGUAAUAACUAUAAUAAAAAAUGCUCUAUAAAUAUAGAGUUAUGUGUGUGGAAAGUAUAGAGCAGAUGGAAGUCCAUGAAACCAUAACUAUCAUGAUAUAUUACCUAGAUAAAAUAUUAGAAGUAAAAAUAGAACCUUUCUUUCAGGUACUUAAGCCAUGACAAUGCAUGAAGUUAUAAGUUAGGAUAUGCAAAUUACACAAAAGUAUACAUCCAAAGAAAAUGUGGGGUUUCACUCAAACAGUGCUGUUGUAAAUUGAAUUCAGACUUCUAAGCUAAACACAAAUUAAAGAGAAUGAAUGGUCUAUAAUAUAAUGACUGUAUUACUUAAGGAGGAGACUCCAAACUAGCCCCUCAAACACCUUACAGGCUAGGCUAAUCUCUUUGGAGGAAGAUCAUACUUGAACAAUCAUUACGUAUAUUGUAAGAAUUUUGUCUGCAAUGCAAGUAGAUAAAUUUUAUACCGAAUUAGGUGCACUCCAUCCAGUUAUUGUCAUAGAACUCCACAUUACAGUGCAGUAGCAUUUCUUAACUUUUGAAUACUUAGUAUAGGAAAUGGUGCUGAUCAAAAUCUCCAAAGUGACUGUUAGCUGACAUAUGUCUAUACCAAUUGUGCACCAUUUGUCCAUUCUUGACAACAUCCUAGAAUGAACACUGCUGGGCAGAGUUUUUAACUUCUAAUUUCACACAAAGGACCAGAAUCGUCAUGCCCUCCCUUUGAACUCCUAAUUGAAAGGGGUCUUUUAAUGUUCCCAUCUUGCUGUUUUCACUCCACCAAAUAAUCUAUUUUCCUACUUCAUAUCUCAUUAUAAAUGUCUUCAAAAGAAAAAAAGUUGUCUUAGCACAAUUCCUAGCAGAAAGUUGACAUAACACUGUCUAAUUCAGAAAUCCCUUUCGAGACUUCAAGAUUACCAGAGUAUCAAGGUGAUGAGAGGACAGACUUUAAAAAAAUGAAAACAUUUUAUAGUAUGGCCCACAUAUAAAGAACAUAAUAAAUCUAUAAAUUUUACUGAAAUGCCUUGAUUUGAAACCUCUAAGCAAAAAGAACCAAUAUAUUUAAAAAUACAUAUAAGGAUGAAGAUAAUUUGUCAUAUUAACACUGGAAGCCAUCUUUUAAUGACUGCUGCCAUAUUUUGUCACAGCAACUUUUAGCCAAAUAUAGUAUUUGUAAAUUUAAAUUUUCUUUCAUAUAAAGAGGGCCGGUACCUGUCAAAGUGCUAUUUUAUGCAGUAAGAUGGUCGCUUGUUAUUUUGGCAAUUAGUAGACUCAAAUAAGAUACCAAUUUGGUUGCUGGCAGCCAUACUGGAUUUCUUGAUUUCAGUACUCCUAAAAGCAUGCUGGUGUCAUGGAGUAGCUGACCACUAAAAAAGGGAGGAUUCAAAGGGAAUCAGUUGUCAGGUUUGGUUUAGUCUUAGUUUUUUUUUUUGUUGUUGUUUUGUUUUGCUUUGUUUUUUGCUUUUUUUUUCCAUUUAGUUUGUUUCAUUUUGGUUUUGCAUAGAAUGCUUAGAGAAAACACUGACAACCUUUUUGAGAAGUAUGUCAUUGCUCAAGACUGCCAGCACAGUGUACAGCAAAAGCUAUGAAUAAUACAGACAUCAGUAAGCCACCCAAUUAGAAGAAGGUCAAUAUUUAAAUGCAUUUAAUAGCUACUAAGUACAAGUUUGAGGAGAAACAAUGUGUAUUACAAAAAAGAAUGUUUUCAUUUUCUGUAAGAUACAAUGAACUGAUGAACAAAUAUUAAAAGUCAAUUUUGCUUUACUAUAGUAUCAUUUGAUUCUUAUGACUUGUAGAAUCAGUCAUUUUUUCCCCUUGGGUCAAACUUGACAAAUACACCAUGCAUUCUUCUGUUGCUAGCAAUGCUUUGAAUGAAUACCCACCCAAAUGAGUUAGAGCUUUGACAUUCAAACAAGAAAGUAUACUUCAGAAAUUUCCCUUAAUUAUUUGGAAUAAAUUAAACAACCU